rnacentral:rRNA from 1 species
GUGGGGAAUCUUGCGCAAUGGGCGAAAGCCUGACGCAGCCAUGCCGCGUGAAUGAUGAAGGUCUUAGGAUUGUAAAAUUCUUUCACCGGGGACGAUAAUGACGGUACCCGGAGAAGAAGCUCCGGCUAACUUCGUGCCAGCAGCCGUGGUAAUACGAAGGGGGCUAGCGUUGCUCGGAAUUACUGGGCGUAAAGGGCGCGUAGGCGGACAGCUUAGUCAGAGGUGAAAGCCCAGGACUCAACCUUGGAAUUGCCUUUGAUACUGGCUGUCUUGAGUUUGGGAGAGGUGAGUGGAACUCCGAGUGUAGAGGUGAAAUUCGUAGAUAUUCGGAAGAACACCAGUGGCGAAGGCGACUCACUGGCCCAAUACUGACGCUGAGGCGCGAAAGCGUGGGGAGCAAACAGGAUUAGAAACCCCGGUAGUCC